GGUGAGUAACACGUGGGUAACCUGCCUGUAAGACUGGGAUAACUCCGGGAAACCGGGGCUAAUACCGGAUGGUUGUUUGAACCGCAUGGUUCAAACAUAAAAGGUGGCUUCGGCUACCACUUACAGAUGGACCCGCGGCGCAUUAGCUAGUUGGUGAGGUAACGGCUCACCAAGGCGACGAUGCGUAGCCGACCUGAGAGGGUGAUCGGCCACACUGGGACUGAGACACGGCCCAGACUCCUACGGGAGGCAGCAGUAGGGAAUCUUCCGCAAUGGACGAAAGUCUGACGGAGCAACGCCGCGUGAGUGAUGAAGGUUUUCGGAUCGUAAAGCUCUGUUGUUAGGGAAGAACAAGUACCGUUCGAAUAGGGCGGUACCUUGACGGUACCUAACCAGAAAGCCACGGCUAACUACGUGCCAGCAGCCGCGGUAAUACGUAGGUGGCAAGCGUUGUCCGGAAUUAUUGGGCGUAAAGGGCUCGCAGGCGGUUUCUUAAGUCUGAUGUGAAAGCCCCCGGCUCAACCGGGGAGGGUCAUUGGAAACUGGGGAACUUGAGUGCANAAGANGAGAGUGGAAUUCCACGUGUAGCGGUGAAAUGCGUANNGAUGUGGAGGAACACCAGUGGCGAANGCGACUCUCUGGUCUGUAACUGACGCUGANGAGCGAAAGCGUGGGGAGCGAACAGGAUUANAUACCCUGGUAGUCCACGCC
rnacentral:rRNA from 1 species